rnacentral:rRNA from 1 species
AACGAACGCUGGCGGCAGGCUUAACACAUGCAAGUCGAACGGGUGUAGCAAUACAUCAGUGGCAGACGGGUGAGUAACACGUGGGAACCUUCCUAGAGGUACGGAACAACUCAGGGAAACUUGAGCUAAUACCGUAUAAGCUCUUGCGAGGAAAGAUUUAUCGCCUUUAGACGGGCCCGCGUAGGAUUAAGUAGUUGGUGGGGUAAUGGCCUACCAAGCCUACGAUCCUUAGCUGAUCUGAUAGGAUGAUCAGCCACACUGGGACUGAGACACGGCCCAGACUCCUACGGGAGGCAGCAGUGGGGAAUCUUGGACAAUGGGCGCAAGCCUGAUCCAGCCAUGCCGCGUGAGUGAAGAAGGCCUUCGGGUUGUAAAGCUCUUUUACCAGGGACGAUAAUGACGGUACCUGGAGAAUAAGCCCCGGCAAACUUCGUGCCAGCCGCCGCCGUAA